GAUGAAGAACGUAGCUAAAUGCGAUAAGUAAUGUGAAUUGCAGAAUUCAGUGAAUCAUCGAAUCUUUGAACGCACAUUGCGCCCGCCAGCACUCUGGCGGGCAUGCCUGUUCGAGCGUCAUUUCAACCAUCAAGCCCCCAGGGGCUUGUGCUGGGGCCCUGCGGCUGCCCGCAGGCCCUGAAAACCAGUGGCGGGCUCGCUAGUCACACCGAGCGCAGUAGCACAUCUCGCUCAGGGCGUGCGGCGGGCUCCUGCCGUGAAACCCCCCACUGUAACCCCAAAGGUUGACCUCGGAUCAGGUAGGAAUACCCGCUGAACUUAAGCAUAUCAAUAAGCGGAGGA
rnacentral:misc_RNA from 1 species